GACGAACCGUGCGAACGUUAUUCGGAAUCACUGGGCUUAAAGAGCGUGUAGGCGGCCUGACAGGUCUGCUGUGAAAACUCGAGGCUCAACCUCGAGAUGUCGGCGGAAACCGUCUGGCUAGAGUUCGGUAGGGGAGUCUGGAAUUCCUGGUGUAGCGGUGAAAUGCGCAGAUAUCAGGAGGAACACCGGUGGCGAAGGCGGGACUCUGGGCCGAUACUGACGCUGAGGAGCGAAAGCGUGGGGAGCAAACAGG
rnacentral:rRNA from 1 species